rnacentral:lncRNA from 1 species
UAAUGUGUCUACAAAAACACUUUAGUUACUUACUUUAUAACAUAAGUAAAAGAUGCUGCUUGAAAUUGAAUGAAUUUUUUUUCAGGUCUCCAUAUCGGUCUCUUAUCUGCUGUUGUAGCUGUUGCCUGCAUAUUUCUCACAGCAUGUUCUGUAUUUGUUGGCAUUUACGUAGGAAACUUUGUAAAAACAUGGAAGUUUCAAUUUACAGCAGGAAUAUACAUCAUUCUCUGGGUUGCUCUAGUGCUUGUUGUGCGUCGACAACAUAAAAACAAUAAAGACAGAUUCUGCGCUAAAUGGAGAGGCCUGGGAUAUAUGUGCUGUGCCGUGCUUAUCUCAAUAUCUAUUCUUGCAAAUGGUUUGUUGUAUGUUUAUUAUAUAAAGGACAACAUGAAAUCAAAAGGUAGGUCACAUUCCUCUACAUUAGCUUUUAUAUGAAUUCUAAAUUCAUAAUGAUAAUAAUAUUGGGAACACUUUACAAUAAAGGACACAAAUAAUAUAACUUACGACA